ensembl:lncRNA
AAGUGUGUGCCAUAUGGGAUGUAGUUUUGUGUAUUUUUGUGCCUUUGGAGCCCCCUACAGUUAAGUGAGUGGAAUUCACUGUCGUAGGUGACAAAAUUUGCUGUACACGUGCAUUUAAUCCACCCUUUUCGCGGAAUUUCGUACGCUCAUCAGGCGUUUGGGAAGCGUGGGAAAGAAGCCGAUCGCAUUUGGAAGUCAGUGUACCAUUACAAUGACUUUAAAACUGUUAUUCCAAGAGCCAUCUAAUAUGACUUCUGAAGAUUGCUGGAAUAACACACACGAAUCAUAAGGACUACAUAUGUGGUACUUUCAUUUGCUUUUUGGUGCUUCACAGACACAAGUAUCGUCUGUUCCCUCAUCUGCUUGUUUCGUGAAUGAAAACAUUAUGAGAAGUAGGGUGUCACCGCCAAAAUUGAGAACCAUAUUAAGGUAACUGUUAGGCUCCUAUGUAUUAAUAAUAAUAACCUCUAAAUAAAUUGUUCUGCCACCAAGAAAUAUCCAAUUUAUCAAGUCGGAAAUGUGUUUGACUUUAAUAGCCAGUUUUAAAUCUACCACAUGAAGCAUAUUUUCACAAUGUUCAAUUCUGAUGCAUAACCUGAUUUAUGUUUCACUUUAUAAAUGUUAAAUCAGUUGAGCAAAACAGGAAAGUGGAAGCUUUUGUUAUUUGGGUUGAUUGGACAAGGCUACAUGAGUUAAUGUGUAUGACCUUUAAUUUCUCACAAAUUAACAUUUGGUGUCCUUUGAAAUGUUUGUCUCCCCUUCAGUGUGAUUUAUAUUUUGAAGUCAUUGUUGAUUUUAAUCACUUCAAAUGCCAAGUCUUGAUACCAAUCCUUCCAGCUCCAUAUAG